rnacentral:rRNA from 1 species
GCUACGGGUGGCAGCAGUGAGGAAUAUUGGUCAAUGGCCGCAGGUCUGAACCAGCCAAGUCGCGUGAGGGAUGACGGUCCUAUGGAUUGUAAACCUCUUUUGUCAGGGAGCAAAGGGCGCCACGUGUGGCGUUUUGCGAGUACCUGAAGAAAAAGCAUCGGCUAACUCCGUGCCAGCAGCCGCGGUAAUACGGAGGAUGCGAGCGUUAUCCGGUUUUAUUGGGUUUAAAGGGUGCGCAGGCGGAAUUUCAAGUCAGCGGGAAAAUUUCGGGGCCCAACCUCGUCGUGCCGUUGAAACUGGCGGUCUUGAGUGAACGAGAAGUAUGCGGAAUGCGUGGUGUAGCGGUGAAAUGCAUAGAUAUCACGCAGAACUCCGAUUGCGAAGGCAGCAUACCGGAGCUCAACUGACGCUCAUGCACGAAAGCGUGGGUAUCGAACAGGAUUAGAUACCCCUGUAGUC